rnacentral:rRNA from 1 species
AUUGAACGCUGGCGGCAGGCCUAACACAUGCAAGUCGAGCGCGCGGCGGACGGGUGCGUAAUGUCUGGGAAAACGUCUGAUGGAGGGGGAUCACUACUGGAAACGGCAGCUAAUACCGCAUACCAUCAGAUGUCGCCAGAUGGGAUUAGAUAGUAGGGGGGGUAAUGGCUCACAAAGGCAACGAUCCGUAGCUGGUCUGAGAGGAUGACCAGCCACACUGGGACGGAGACACGGUCCAGACUCCUACGGGAGGCAGCAGUGGGGAAUCUUGGACAAUGGGGGAAAGCCUGAUCCAGCCAUGCCGCGUGUGGGAAGAAGGCUUUCGGGUUGUAAAGCACUUUUGGCAGAGAAGCGGUACCUGCAGAAGAAGCACCGGCUAACUACGUGCCAGCAGCCGCGGUAAUUC